UACAGAGGUCUCGAGCGUUAGGCGGAAUCACUGGGCUUAAAGCGUGUGUAGGCGGGUCGUUAAGGGCCUUGUGAAAUCCCAUGGCUCAACCAUGGAACUGCUGGGCAUACUGGCGAUCUUGUGCCACCUAGGGGCGAGCGGAACAGAUGGUGGAGCGGUGAAAUGCGUAGAUAUCAUCUGGAACGCCAAUGGUGAAAACAGCUCGCUGGGGGUGUGCAGACGCUGAGACACGAAAGCCAGGGGAGCGAACGGG
rnacentral:rRNA from 1 species